rnacentral:rRNA from 1 species
GUGCACCAGGCGAGAAUCCUUCGCAAUGCGGGAAACCGCGACGAGGGGACUCCCAGUGCCUACGCUCAGCGUAGGCUGUUCCCGAGCCUAGAAAGCUCGGGGAGUAAGGGCUGGGUAAGACGGGUGCCAGCCGCCGCGGUAAUACCCGCAGCCCGAGUGGUGGCCACUAUUAUUGGGCCUAAAGCGUCCGUAGCCGGCCCGGUAAAUGCCUGGGUAAAUCGUGAGGCCUAACCUCACGAAUUCCGGGUAGACUGCCGGGCUAGGGGACCGGAGGAGGGAGAGGGUACUCCAGGGGUAGGGGUGAAAUCCUGUAAUCCCUGGAGGACCACCGGUGGCGAAGGCGCUCUCCUAGGACGGGUCCGACGGUGAGGGACGAAAGCCAGGGGAGCGAACCGGAUUAGAUACCCGGGUAGU